AACCCCUGGCGAUAGGCAAAGGGACAUCUUGGUAGUGGUGGUGUUCUUAUAUCAGUCAGGGGCAAGGCAGAUGACAUGGCAGUCCUUUGUUCAUCCUAGUUUGAUGUCUGGCUCAGUGGCCUAAGCUAUUUUAUACCUGGGACACGUAA